GUCUACGGCAAUGCCAUCCUGAACAAGCCUAAUCCUAUCUGAUCUUGGAAGCUAAGCAGGGUCGGGCCUGGUUAGUACUUGGAUGGGAGACUGCCUAGGAAGACCAGGUACUAUAGGUG
rnacentral:rRNA from 1 species